CUGGGGCUGCUACCAUGCGAGUCGAACGGGCGUAGCAAUACGUCAGUGGCAGACGGGUGAGUAACGCGUGGGAACGUACCUUUUGGUUCGGAACAACUGAGGGAAACUUCAGCUAAUACCGGAUAAGCCCUUACGGGGAAAGAUUUAUCGCCGAAAGAUCGGCCCGCGUCUGAUUAGCUAGUUGGUGAGGUAAUGGCUCACCAAGGCGACGAUCAGUAGCUGGUCUGAGAGGAUGAUCAGCCACAUUGGGACUGAGACACGGCCCAAACUCCUACGGGAGGCAGCAGUGGGGAAUAUUGGACAAUGGGGGCAACCCUGAUCCAGCCAUGCCGCGUGAGUGAUGAAGGCCCUAGGGUUGUAAAGCUCUUUUGUGCGGGAAGAUAAUGACGGUACCGCAAGAAUAAGCCCCGGCUAACUUCGUGCCAGCAGCCGCGGUAAUACGAAGGGGGCUAGCGUUGCUCGGAAUCACUGGGCGUAAAGGGUGCGUAGGCGGGUUUCUAAGUCAGAGGUGAAAGCCUGGAGCUCAACUCCAGAACUGCCUUUGAUACUGGAAGUCUUGAGUAUGGCAGAGGUGAGUGGAACUGCGAGUGUAGAGGUGAAAUUCGUAGAUAUUCGCAAGAACACCAGUGGCGAAGGCGGCUCACUGGGCCAUUACUGACGCUGAGGCACGAAAGCGUGGGGAGCAAACAGGAUUAGAUACCCUGGGUAGUCCACGCCGUAUACGAUGAAUGCCAGCCGUUAGUGGGUUUACUCACUAGUGGCGCAGCUAACGCUUUAAGCAUUCCGCUGGGGAGUACGGUCGCAGAUUAAACUCAAGGAG
rnacentral:rRNA from 1 species